ACGGAGGAUCCAAGCGUUAUUCGGAUUUACUGGGUUUAAAGGGUGCGUAGGCGGAUUGAUAAGUCAGUGGUGAAAGCCUACAGCUUAACUGUAGAAUUGCAAUUGAUACUGCUAGUCUGGAGUAUGGUUGAGGAAGCUGGAAUGCGUCAUGUAGCGGUGAAAUGCGUAGAGAUGACGCGGAACACCGACGGCGAAGGCAGCUUUCUGGCCCAAUACUGACGCUGAGGCGCGAAAGCGUGGGGAGCAAACAG
rnacentral:rRNA from 1 species